UAGGGAAUCUUCCGCAAUGGACGAAAGUCUGACGGAGCAACGCCGCGUGAGUGAUGAAGGUUUUCGGAUCGUAAAACUCUGUUGUUAGGGAAGAACAAGUAUCGGAGUAACUGCCGGUACCUUGACGGUACCUAACCAGAAAGCCACGGCUAACUACGUGCCAGCAGCCGCGGUAAUACGUAGGUGGCAAGCGUUGUCCGGAAUUAUUGGGCGUAAAGCGCGCGCAGGUGGUUCCUUAAGUCUGAUGUGAAAGCCCACGGCUCAACCGUGGAGGGUCAUUGGAAACUGGGGAACUUGAGUGCAGAAGAGGAAAGUGGAAUUCCAAGUGUAGCGGUGAAAUGCGUAGAGAUUUGGAGGAACACCAGUGGCGAAGGCGACUUUCUGGUCUGUAACUGACACUGAGGCGCGAAAGCGUGGGGAGCGAACAGG
rnacentral:rRNA from 5 species